rnacentral:rRNA from 1 species
AGUCGAGCGGUACAUUUCUAGCUUGCUAAAGAUGACGAGCGGCGGACCGUUGAGUAAUGCUUGGGAACAUGCCUUUAGGUGGGGGACAACAGUUGGAAACGACUGCUAAUACCGCAUAAUGUCUACGGACCAAAGGGGGCUUCGGCUCUCGCCUUUAGAUUGGCCCAAGUGGGAUUAGCUAGUUGGUGAGGUAACGGCUCACCAAGGCGACGAUCCCUAGCUGGUUUGAGAGGAUGAUCAGCCACACUGGAACUGAGACACGGUCCAGACUCCUACGGGAGGCAGCAGUGGGGAAUAUUGCACAAUGGGCGCAAGCCUGAUGCAGCCAUGCCGCGUGUGUGAAGAAGGCCUUCGGGUUGUAAAGCACUUUCAGUAAGGAGGAAAGGUUAGUAGUUAAUACCUGCUAGCUGUGACGUUACUUACAGAAGAAGCACCGGCUAACUCCGUGCCAGCAGCCGCGGUAAUACGGAGGGUGCGAGCGUUAAUCGGAAUUACUGGGCGUAAAGCGUACGCAGGCGGUUGAUUAAGCGAGAUGUGAAAGCCCCGGGCUCAACCUGGGAACUGCAUUUCGAACUGGUCAACUAGAGUGUGAUAGAGGGUGGUAGAAUUUCAGGUGUAGCGGUGAAAUGCGUAGAGAUCUGAAGGAAUACCGAUGGCGAAGGCAGCCACCUGGGUCAACACUGACGCUCAUGUAACGAAAGCGUGGGGAGCAAACCGGAUUAGAUACCCUGGUAGUCCCCGCCGUAAACCAUGUCUACUAGAAACUGGGGGCCUCGGACAACUUUUUCAAAGCUAACCCAUUAACUA